UCAAAGCAUAAUUUUAGGACAAAACACCAGAAUUUGCAAGAACAUGACGAUCGAUGGGAUUCGGCAAAACAUUCAAAAUAAUGAGACGUAACAAGCAGACAAUAACCGCAACUUAACAUUUUCACAGGUUGUGCUAGAAAGCCGUUAAUAAGAUGAAAUGAUCUACAACUAAUUGCUUAUACUUAAUUUGGUCUCCAAAAUUGAAAUCAAUCAACUUUUUGGAAAGGAUCAUGGCUGUUAACUAUCACCUCGUUGUACGCAAAACACCGAUAGAGUUACACAAAAAUCAAACAACAUCUCAAAGAAGCAAGUAGAUGGAAAGCAUAAAGUCGGAGAUUGGCUGUACGAAACUACAAUAAAGGCAGUCUCAGGCUGUGCUGCAAAACCGAUGAAAUGAUCGUUUUAGGAGGUUAAUUAAAAUAAAACACUUAGAGACAACUCUGCAAUUUAAAAGGAUGACAAAAAUAUAUAUAGUUUCCAGGAAUCUCUCCCUGUUUUGGGCUAUGAACAGUAUAAAAAUAACUUGCCAGCACUACCACUAAACGAUGUGAUGAAAUCUUUCCAAAUAAAAUGAAUUUUUUUACCAAAUGUUAAAGUAUUUACAAGCCAUGCUGUCGUUGACUUUGCGUUGAAGUGUUUAUCCCUAUAAUUGUAUUUAAUUUGAGAGCACUUUUCGGUACAUGAAAAGGCUUGCCGACAAAGGCAAGUACUCUUGUAUCAAAACCUUUGCGGUGGCACUUCUAUGACUUCACCUUCAGAUGUUUUAAAUUUUUCAUUGAUAUCUCUGAUGUUUUGCUGCUGAAACUCACAAGUAAACAACUUAAUUGGGUUUUCCAAAAAUAGAAAACUUGACGCAUGUGUUUGAUAGCAAAAUAGUCGUGUAUGCCCCAACGGACAGCCAUCACGUAUGAGAAGAAUGCGACAAAAAUGCAGCUUCAGCGCUAUCAUUUUAUAGAGUAACAAAGAUCUCUUAAUAUCAUAAGGAAGCUCUAUACUUGUUGAAACAUUGUUUGUACAAGCAGUUUUUUUCAAUUUAGCUUAACUGAACAAAGUGUAACAAUACGUAAAUAAAAAAAUAAUCAAGAGAGUUUUUGACAAUA